rnacentral:rRNA from 1 species
CACCGCGGUUAUACGAGAGGCUCAAGUUGAUAGACAACGGCGUAAGGGGUGGUUAGGGAAAUACUUAAACUACAGCCGAAAACCUUCAAGGCCGUUACACGCACCCUCGAAGGUGGGAAGACCAACUACGAAAGUGGCUCUAUUACACCUGACCCCACGAAAGCUGAGAAA